GCUAACAAGGUAGGAGAAGGUGGUAGUAGACAAGGGAAAGAGCAAAUUGAAUAGGUGGAAUCGGUGUUGGGAGCCUUGAUUUUGCUCGUUAGCUAUCGGAUUCGGGAUCAUUGAAGUCGAAGUCAUCCACACUAUCAAAGCCCCCAUUUUGGUACAAUUUUGGUUGAACUUUGAAAUGGCAUGUAUAGGACUACCCUUUUGUUGUAGGUUAUGUACCUUUCGGUUUUGUGUAAAUUCGGAUAGCCAUGCGAAAAUGGCUUAUAUACGUUUCUAGCAUAGUACUAUAAUCGUUUGUAUGUUGAUCAUUAUGAGGUAUGGAAUUGUUUUGAAACGAUUAGCCAUUGGAAUGGUUAAUCAUGAUCA